UAAAGAAGAGGCGUAACCGCAGGUAGCGAUACUUGAGGAAAGUCCGGGCUCCUUCGGAAAGGAUGCCGGCUAACGGCCGGGGUGCCGGCGUACGGGCGAAAGUCCGCAGGCAGGCAUACAGACAGCGCAGCAGAAAAUAAACCGCCCGCAAAGCGGGUAAGGGUGAAAAGGCGGGGUAAGAGCCCACCGGGUAUGCGGCAACGCAUACCGCAUUGCAAGCCUCAUCCGGAGCAAGGUCAAGCGGUAACUGAUUAUUCCGAAUCGAUAGUUACAGGUAGACCGCACAAAAUGCGGGGCAAUUCGCAUUGCAGACAGAUGGUUACGGAUUACAGAACCCGGCUUAUACUCUUCUUUUUUUU
rfam:Treponema maltophilum ATCC 51939 genomic scaffold aczIZ-supercont-complete, whole genome shotgun sequence.